rnacentral:rRNA from 1 species
GGUUAAGUGACUAAGCGUACACGGUGGAUGCCUGGGCAGUCAGAGGCGAUGAAGGACGUACUAACUUGCGAUAAGCGCAGAUAAGGCAGUAAGAGCCGUUUGAGUCUGCGAUUUCCGAAUGGGGAAACCCAACUGCAUAAGCAGUUACUGUUAACUGAAUACAUAGGUUAACAGAGCAAACCGGGGGAACUGAAACAUCUAAGUACCCCGAGGAGAAGAAAUCAACCGAGAUUCCGGUAGUAGCGGCGAGCGAACCUGGAUUAGCCCUUAAGCACUCGUUGAAGUAGGUGAACAAGCUGGAAAGCUUGGCGAUACAGGGUGAUAGCCCCGUAACCGACGCUUCAUCGAGCGUGAAAUCGAGUAGGGCGGGACACGUGAUAUCCUGUCUGAAUAUGGGGGGACCAUCCUCCAAGGCUAAAUACUCCUGACUGACCGAUAGUGAACCAGUACCGUGAGGGAAAGGCGAAAAGAACCCCUGUGAGGGGAGUGAAAUAGAACCUGAAACCGUGUACGUACAAGCAGUAGGAGCACCUUCGUGGUGUGACUGCGUACCUUUUGUAUAAUGGGUCAGCGACUUAUAUUCAGUGGCAAGGUUAACCGUAUAGGGGAGCCGUAGCGAAAGCGAGUCUUAACUGGGCGCUCAGUCUCUGGAUAUAGACCCGAAACCGGGUGAUCUAGCCAUGGGCAGGUUGAAGGUUGAGUAACAUCAACUGGAGGACCGAACCGACUAAUGUUGAAAAAUUAGCGGAUGACUUGUGGCUAGGGGUGAAAGGCCAAUCAAACUCGGAGAUAGCUGGUUCUCCCCGAAAGCUAUUUAGGUAGCGCCUCGGACGAAUACUACUGGGGGUAGAGCACUGUUAAGGCUAGGGGGUCAUCCCGACUUACCAACCCUUUGCAAACUCCGAAUACCAGUAAGUACUAUCCGGGAGACACACGGCGGGUGCUAACGUCCGUCGUGGAGAGGGAAACAACCCAGACCGCCAGCUAAGGUCCCAAAGUAUUGCUAAGUGGGAAACGAUGUGGGAAGGCUCAGACAGCUAGGAUGUUGGCUUAGAAGCAGCCAUCAUUUAAAGAAAGCGUAAUAGCUCACUAGUCGAGUCGGCCUGCGCGGAAGAUGUAACGGGGCUAAGCAAUACACCGAAGCUGCGGCAAUGAAGUUUACUUCAUUGGGUAGGGGAGCGUUCUGUAAGCCGUUGAAGGUGAAUCGUAAGGUUUGCUGGAGGUAUCAGAAGUGCGAAUGCUGACAUGAGUAACGACAAGGGGGGUGAAAAACCUCCCCGCCGGAAGACCAAGGGUUCCUGUCCAACGUUAAUCGGGGCAGGGUGAGUCGACCCCUAAGGCGAGGCCGAAAGGCGUAGUCGAUGGGAAACGGGUUAAUAUUCCCGUACUCAAUCAAAUUGCGAUGGGGGGACGGAGAAGGCUAGGUGGGCCAGGCGACGGUUGUCCUGGUUCAAGUGCGUAGGCUUAAGAGUUAGGUAAAUCCGGCUCUUUCUAAGGCUGAGACACGACGUCGAGCACCUACGGGUGUGAAGUCAUUGAUGCCAUGCUUCCAGGAAAAGCCUCUAAGCUUCAGAUUUGAUGGAAUCGUACCCCAAACCGACACAGGUGGUCGGGUAGAGAAUACCAAGGCGCUUGAGAGAACUCGGGUGAAGGAACUAGGCAAAAUGGUACCGUAACUUCGGGAGAAGGUACGCUCUUGAUGGUGAAGUCCCUCGCGGAUGGAGCUGACGAGAGUCGCAGAUACCAGGUGGCUGCAACUGUUUAUUAAAAACACAGCACUGUGCAAAAUCGCAAGAUGACGUAUACGGUGUGACGCCUGCCCGGUGCCGGAAGGUUAAUUGAUGGGGUUAGCGUAAGCGAAGCUCUUGAUCGAAGCCCCGGUAAACGGCGGCCGUAACUAUAACGGUCCUAAGGUAGCGAAAUUCCUUGUCGGGUAAGUUCCGACCUGCACGAAUGGCGUAAUGAUGGCCACGCUGUCUCCACCCGAGACUCAGUGAAAUUGAAAUCGCUGUGAAGAUGCAGUGUACCCGCGGCUAGACGGAAAGACCCCGUGAACCUUUACUACAGCUUGGCACUGAACAUUGAACCUACAUGUGUAGGAUAGGUGGGAGGCUAUGAAGACGUGACGCUAGUUGCGUUGGAGCCGUCCUUGAAAUACCACCCUUGUAUGUUUGAUGUUCUAACUUAGACCCAUUAUCUGGGUUGAGGACAGUGCCUGGUGGGUAGUUUGACUGGGGCGGUCUCCUCCCAAAGAGUAACGGAGGAGCACGAAGGUGGGCUAAUCACGGUUGGACAUCGUGAGGUUAGUGCAAUGGCAUAAGCCCGCUUAACUGCGAGAAUGACGGUUCGAGCAGGUGCGAAAGCAGGUCAUAGUGAUCCGGUGGUUCUGUAUGGAAGGGCCAUCGCUCAACGGAUAAAAGGUACUCCGGGGAUAACAGGCUGAUACCGCCCAAGAGUUCAUAUCGACGGCGGUGUUUGGCACCUCGAUGUCGGCUCAUCACAUCCUGGGGCUGAAGUCGGUCCCAAGGGUAUGGCUGUUCGCCAUUUAAAGUGGUACGCGAGCUGGGUUUAGAACGUCGUGAGACAGUUCGGUCCCUAUCUGCCGUGGGCGUUGGAAGAUUGAAGGGGGCUGCUCCUAGUACGAGAGGACCGGAGUGGACGAACCUCUGGUGUUCGGGUUGUGUCGCCAGACGCAUUGCCCGGUAGCUAAGUUCGGAAUCGAUAACCGCUGAAAGCAUCUAAGCGGGAAGCGAGCCCUGAGAUGAGUCUUCCCUGACAGUUUAACUGUCCUAAAGGGUUGUUCGAGACUAGAACGUUGAUAGGCAGGGUGUGUAAGCGUUGUGAGGCGUUGAGCUAACCUGUACUAAUUGCCCGUGAGGCUUAACCAU